UGAUGUAGUAUCAGUUCUUUUGUUUUUCAUAUAUUUUUUUUUUCUUAUGAACAAAAUAUGAAGGAUCUGAGAAACUUUAUAAUCUUUGUAGAAUAAUGAGUUAUUAUUAAGUGUAGAAAUACUAUUUGAGAUGAUUGUUGGUCAAAAAUCAAAUAUGUGUAUUUUAUGUACUGAUUAUUUCUCAUUUUUUUUUCUGUCAUGCAUUAAUUAUCAAAGUCUGUUAAGCUUAUCUCUCAAUUUUUAUUUUAAAAGACAUUGAUCACAUAUUUUCUUGUACUCUAUUACAAAAUAUCUUGUAGAUGUAGACAUUUUCGAAAAAAAAUAUCUUGUUUCUGCUUAUUUUGAUAGUAAGAAAUAACUCUAAUGGGAUAAAAGAGGGUUCCAAAAUUUUUGUUGUAAAGCUGAGAAAAUAAAACAUUAUAAUAUAAAAUUAUACACGUAGAAAACAGUUAAAUGUUUAUUUUGAAAAAGGGAGACAACCAUGUAACAGACAACACAUGUGCUACAUCUUUUGUUUUUUGUGUAUUUUUUGGGGUUCUUGUCAUAUUGUGACUGUAUUUUAGUCCAGUAGGCACCUGGUCUAGUUAUAAUAGUUUUAUGGCCAAAGGUAGAAAGGGAAUUUAUUAUUAUCAUUAUAUUUUCUGAUAUCAGUCUUUAUUUUUUUUUUCAAAUACGUAAUAAUAAAUCUUUCAUUUGAAAUUGUUAUUUGUAUUUAGAAAUUAAAUGUUAUCAGUACAUUUG
rnacentral:sRNA from 1 species